rfam:Chryseobacterium gambrini strain DSM 18014 genome assembly, contig: Ga0111674_103
AUUGCGUAAGCCGAAAAGCAAACAGAGUAGGCG